UAGGGAAUCUUCGGCAAUGGACGAAAGUCUGACCGAGCAACGCCGCGUGAGUGAAGAAGGUUUUCGGAUCGUAAAACUCUGUUGUUAGAGAAGAACAAGGACGUUAGUAACUGAACGUCCCCUGACGGUAUCUAACCAGAAAGCCACGUCUAACUACGUGCCAGCAGCCGCGGUAAUACGUAGGUGGCAAGCGUUGUCCGGAUUUAUUGGGCGUAAAGCGAGCGCAGGCGGUUUCUUAAGUCUGAUGUGAAAGCCCCCGGCUCAACCGGGGGGGGUCAUUGGAAACUGGGAGACUUGAGUGCAGAAGAGGAGAGUGGAAUUCCAUGUGUAGCGGUGCAAUGCGUAGAUAUAUGGAGGAACACCAGUGGCGAAGGCGGCUCUCUGGUCUGUAACUGACGCUGAGGCUCGAAAGCGUGGGGAGCAAACAGG
rnacentral:rRNA from 1 species